GUUGAACGCUGGCGGCAUGCUUUACACAUGCAAGUCGAACGGUAACAGGGUGCUUGCACCGCUGACGAGUGGCGAACGGGUGAGUAAUGCGUCGGAACGUGCCGAGUAGUGGGGGAUAACGCAGCGAAAGUUGUGCUAAUACCGCAUACGUACUGAGGUAGAAAGUGGGGGACCUUCGGGCCUCACGCUAUUCGAGCGGCCGACGUCUGAUUAGCUAGUAGGUGAGGUAAAGGCUCACCUAGGCGACGAUCAGUAGCGGGUCUGAGAGGAUGAUCCGCCACACUGGGACUGAGACACGGCCCAGACUCCUACGGGAGGCAGCAGUGGGGAAUUUUGGACAAUGGGCGAAAGCCUGAUCCAGCCAUGCCGCGUGUCUGAAGAAGGCCUUCGGGUUGUGAAGGACUUUUGUCAGGGAGGAAAUCCCUAGUGCUAAUAACACUGGGGGAUGACAGUACCUGAAGAAUAAGCACCGGCUAACUACGUGCCAGCCGCCGCCGUAACAC
rnacentral:rRNA from 1 species